GAUGAACGCUGGCGGCGUGCCUAAUACAUGCAAGUCGAGCGAACAGAUAAGGAGCUUGCUCCUCUGACGUUAGCGGCGGACGGGUGAGUAACACGUGGGUAACCUACCUAUAAGACUGGGAUAACUUCGGGAAACCGGAGCUAAUACCGGAUAACAUUUGGAACCGCAUGGUUCUAAAGUGAAAGAUGGUUUUGCUAUCACUUAUAGAUGGAUCCGCGCCGUAUUAGCUAGUUGGUAAGGUAACGGCUUACCAAGGCGACGAUACGUAGCCGACCUGAGAGGGUGAUCGGCCACACUGGAACUGAGACACGGUCCAGACUCCUACGGGAGGCAGCAGUAGGGAAUCUUCCGCAAUGGGCGAAAGCCUGACGGAGCAACGCCGCGUGAGUGAUGAAGGGCUUCGGAUCGUAAAACUCUGUUAUUAGGGAAGAACAAACGUGUAAGUAACUAUGCACGUCUUGACGGUGCCUAAUCAGAAAGCCACGGCUAACUACGUG
rnacentral:rRNA from 1 species